AAUGAACGCUGGCGGCAGGCCUAAAACAUGCAAGUCGAACGCCUGUAGCAAUACAGGAGUGGCGCACGGGUGCGUAACACGUGGGAAUAUGCCUAUUGGUACGGAACAGCUCCGGGAAACUGGAAUUAAUACCGUAUGGUCCCUUCGGGGUAAAGAUUUAUCGCCAAUAGAUUAGCCCGCGGUGGAUUAGCUAGUUGGUAGGGUAAUGGCCUACGAAGGCGACGAUCGAUAGCUGGUCUGAGAGGACCAUCAGCCACACUGGGACUGAGACACGGCCCAGACUCCUACGGGAGGGAGCAGUUAGGAAUAUUGGACAGUGGGCGCAAGCCUGAGCGAGCCAUGCCGCGUGAGUAAUGAAGGCCGUCGGGUUGGAAAACUCUUUAGCCGAUGAAUAUAAUGACUGUAGUCGGAAAAUGAGCCCCGGCUAACUUCGUGCCAGCCGCCGCGGUAA
rnacentral:rRNA from 1 species